rnacentral:rRNA from 1 species
GACGAACGCUGGCGGCGUGCUUAACACAUGCAAGUCGAACGGAAAGGCCCUGCUUUUGUGGGGUGCUCGAGUGGCGAACGGGUGAGUAACACGUGAGUAACCUGCCCUUGACUUUGGGAUAACUUCAGGAAACUGGGGCUAAUACCGGAUAGGAGCUCCUGCUGCAUGGUGGGGGUUGGAAAGUUUCGGCGGUUGGGGAUGGACUCGCGGCUUAUCAGCUUGUUGGUGGGGUAGUGGCUUAUCAAGGCUUUGACGGGUAGCCGGCCUGAGAGGGUGACCGGCCACAUUGGGACUGAGAUACGGCCCAGACCCCUACGGGAGGCAGCAGUGGGGAAUAUUGCACAAUGGGCGGAAGCCUGAUGCAGCAACGCCGCGUGCGGGAUGACGGCCUUCGGGUUGUAAACCGCUUUCGCCUGUGACGAAGCGUGAGUGACGGUAAUGGGUAAAGAAGCACCGGCUAACUACGUG